rnacentral:rRNA from 1 species
CCAAGGGUAUGGCUGUUCGCCAUUUAAAGUGGUACGCGAGCUGGGUUUAGAACGUCGUGAGACAGUUCGGUCCCUAUCUGCCGUGGGCGCUGGAGAACUGAGGGGGGCUGCUCCUAGUACGAGAGGACCGGAGUGGACGCAUCACUGGUGUUCGGGUUGUCAUGCCAAUGGCACUGCCCGGUAGCUAAAUGCGGAAGAGAUAAGUGCUGAAAGCAUCUAAGCACGAAACUUGCCCCGAGAUGAGUUCUCCCUGACUCCUUGAGAGUCCUGAAGGAACGUUGAAGACGACGACGUUGAUAGGCCGGGUGUGUAAGCGCAGCGAUGCGUUGAGCUAACCGGUACUAAUGAACCGUGAGGCUUAAUCUU